UUUAUGGAGAGUUUGAUCCUGGCUCAGAGUGAACGCUGGCGGCGUGCCUAAUACAUGCAAGUCGAACGAUGAAGCUUCUAGCUUGCUAGAAGUGGAUUAGUGGCGCACGGGUGAGUAACGCAUAGGUUAUGUGCCUCUUAGUUUGGGAUAGCCAUUGGAAACGAUGAUUAAUACCAGAUACUCCCUACGGGGGAAAGAUUUAUCGCUAAGAGAUCAGCCUAUGUCCUAUCAGCUUGUUGGUAAGGUAAUGGCUUACCAAGGCUAUGACGGGUAUCCGGCCUGAGAGGGUGAACGGACACACUGGAACUGAGACACGGUCCAGACUCCUACGGGAGGCAGCAGUAGGGAAUAUUGCUCAAUGGGGGAAACCCUGAAGCAGCAACGCCGCGUGGAGGAUGAAGGUUUUAGGAUUGUAAACUCCUUUUGUUAGAGAAGAUAAUGACGGUAUCUAACGAAUAAGCACCGGCUAACUCCGUGCCAGCAGCCGCGGUAAUACGGAGGGUGCAAGCGUUACUCGGAAUCACUGGGCGUAAAGAGCGCGUAGGCGGGAUAGUCAGUCAGGUGUGAAAUCCUAUGGCUUAACCAUAGAACUGCAUUUGAAACUACUAUUCUAGAGUGUGGGAGAGGUAGGUGGAAUUCUUGGUGUAGGGGUAAAAUCCGUAGAGAUCAAGAGGAAUACUCAUUGCGAAGGCGACCUGCUGGAACAUUACUGACGCUGAUUGCGCGAAAGCGUGGGGAGCAAACAGGAUUAGAUACCCUGGUAGUCCACGCCCUAAACGAUGGAUGCUAGUUGUUGGAGGGCUUAGUCUCUCCAGUAAUGCAGCUAACGCAUUAAGCAUCCCGCCUGGGGAGUACGGUCGCAAGAUUAAAACUCAAAGGAAUAGACGGGGACCCGCACAAGCGGUGGAGCAUGUGGUUUAAUUCGAAGAUACACGAAGAACCUUACCUAGGCUUGACAUUGAGAGAAUCCGCUAGAAAUAGUGGAGUGUCUGGCUUGCUAGACCUUGAAAACAGGUGCUGCACGGCUGUCGUCAGCUCGUGUCGUGAGAUGUUGGGUUAAGUCCCGCAACGAGCGCAACCCCCUUUCUUAGUUGCUAACAGGUCAUGCUGAGAACUCUAAGGAUACUGCCUCCGUAAGGAGGAGGAAGGUGGGGACGACGUCAAGUCAUCAUGGCCCUUACGCCUAGGGCUACACACGUGCUACAAUGGGGUGCACAAAGAGAAGCAAUACUGCGAAGUGGAGCCAAUCUUCAAAACGCCUCUCAGUUCGGAUUGUAGGCUGCAACUCGCCUGCAUGAAGCUGGAAUCGCUAGUAAUCGCAAAUCAGCCAUGUUGCGGUGAAUACGUUCCCGGGUCUUGUACUCACCGCCCGUCACACCAUGGGAGUUGUGUUUGCCUUAAGUCAGGAUGCUAAAUUGGCUACUGCCCACGGCACACACAGCGACUGGGGUGAAGUCGUAACAAGGUAACCGUAGGUGAACCUGCGGUUGGAUCACCUCCUUUCUAGA
rnacentral:rRNA from 1 species